rnacentral:rRNA from 1 species
GACGAACGCUGGCGGCGUGCUUAACACAUGCAAGUCGAGCGGUAAGGCCCUUUCGGGGGUACACGAGCGGCGAACGGGUGAGUAACACGUGGGUGACCUGCCCUCAGCUCUGGGAUAAGCCUGGGAAACCGGGUCUAAUACUGGAUAUGACUCCAUGACGCAUGUUGUGGGGUGGAAAGCCUUGUGCGGCUGAGGAUGGGCCCGCGGCCUAUCAGCUUGUUGGUGGGGGUGAGGCCUACCAAGGCGACGACGGGUAGCCGGCCUGAGAGGGCGACCGGCCACACUGGGACUGAGACACGGCCCAGACUCCUACGGGAGGCAGCAGUGGGGAAUCUUGCGCAAUGGGCGAAAGCCUGACGCAGCGACGCCGCGUGAGGGAUGACGGCCUCGGUGU